rnacentral:rRNA from 1 species
UACGUAGGGGGCAAGCGUUGUCCGGAAUCAUUGGGCGUAAAGCGCGUGUAGGCGGUCCGGUAAGUCCGCUGUGAAAGUCGGGGGCUUAACCCUCGGAUGCCGGUGGAUACUGUCGGGCUUGAGUACGGAAGAGGCGAGUGGAACUCCUGGUGUAGCGGUGGAAUGCGCAGAUAUCAGGAAGAACACCGACGGCGAAGGCGGCUCUCUAGGCCGGUACUGACGCUGAGACGCGAAAGCGUGGGGAGCGAACAGG